GCAUAGAAUCUUGAACGCACAUUGCGCCCGCCAGCAAUCUGCGGGCAUGCCUGUUCGAGCGUCAUUUCAACCCUCGAGCCCGACUCUUUUGAGACGGCUCGGCGUUGGGGGACGGCAGACUCCCCCCGGCAUCUCGCCGGGGACGCCGCCCCCGAAAUCUAGUGGCGGCCCUCCGAGGCGACCUCUGCGUAGUAACUUGUUCUCGCACCGGAAAGCUCAGAGCGGCCACGCCGUAAAACCCCAACUUUUUUCAGGCUUGGUCAUUUAGAGGAAGUAAAAGUCGUAACAAGGUCUCCGUUGGUGAACCAGCGGAGGGAUCAUUACCGAGUUAUCAACUCCCAAACCCCUGUGAACAUACCUGAACGUUGCCUCGGCGGGACCGCCCCGGCGCCCAACCCGCGGCCCGGACCCAGGCGCCCGCCGGAGGACCCAAACUCUUGCUUUAAACAGUGGCAUACUCUGUGAGUCUCACAAACAAAAAAUGAAUCAAAACUUUCAACAACGGAUCUCUUGGCUCUGGCAUCGAUGAAGAACGCAGCGAAAUGCGAUAAGUAAUGUGAAUUGCAGAAUUCAGUGAAUCAUCGAAUCUUUGAACGCACAUUGCGCCCGCCAGCAUUCUGGCGGGCAUGCCUGUCCGAGCGUCAUUUCAACCCUCAGGGCCCCCCUCCGCGGGGGUGGACCUGGUGUUGGGGGCCGGCCGCCCUGCGCGCGCCGCCCCCGAAAUGCAGUGGCGACCUCGCCGCAGCCUCCCCUGCGUAGUAGCACAACCUCGCACCGGAGCGCGGAGACGGUCACGCCGUAAAACGCCCAACUUUCAAGAGUUGACCUCGGAUCAGGUAGGAAUACCCGCUGAACUUAAGCAUAUCAAUAAGCGGAGG
rnacentral:rRNA from 1 species